GACGAACGCUGGCGGCGUGCCUAAUACAUGCAAGUCGAGCGCAGGAAAUCGACGGAACCCUUCGGGGGGAAGUCGACGGAAUGAGCGGCGGACGUGUGAGUAACACGUAAAGAACCUGCCCUCAGGUCUGGGAUAACCACGAGAAAUCGGGGCUAAUACCGGAUGGGUCAUCGGACCGCAUGGUCCGAGGAUGAAAGGCGCUCCGGCGUCGCCUGGGGAUGGCUUUGCGGUGCAUUAGCUAGUUGGUGGGGUAAUGGCCCACCAAGGCGACGAUGCAUAGCCGACCUGAGAGGGUGAUCGGCCACACUGGGACUGAGACACGGCCCAGACUCCUACGGGAGGCAGCAGUAGGGAAUCUUCCACAAAGGACGAAAGUCUGAUGGAGCAACGCCGCGUGAACGAUGAAGGCCUUCGGGUCGUAAAGUUCUGUUGUAAGGGAAGAACAAGUGCCGCAGGCAAUGGCGGCACCUUGACGGUACCUUGCGAGAAAGCCACGGCUAACUACGUGCCAGCAGCCGCAGUAAUAC
rnacentral:rRNA from 1 species